rnacentral:rRNA from 1 species
GACGAACGCUGGCGGCGUGCCUAAUACAUGCAAGUCGAACGAGAGCGACCAGUGCUUGCACUGGUCAAUCUAGUGGCGAACGGGUGAGUAACACGUGGGUAAUCUGCCCAUCAGAGGGGGAUAACAUUCGGAAACGGAUGCUAAAACCGCAUAGGUUCUUUAGUCGCAUGACUGAAGAAGGAAAAGAGGCUUCGGCUUCUGCUGAUGGAUGGACCCGCGGUGCAUUAGCUAGUUGGUGAGGUAACGGCUCACCAAGGCCGUGAUGCAUAGCCGACCUGAGAGGGUGAUCGGCCACAUUGGGACUGAGACACGGCCCAAACUCCUACGGGAGGCAGCAGUAGGGAAUCUUCCGCAAUGGACGCAAGUCUGACGGAGCAACGCCGCGUGAGUGAAGAAGGAUUUCGGUUCGUAAAACUCUGUUGUUAGAGAAGAACAGCGCAUAGAGUAAACUGUUAUGCGUGUGACGGAUCUAACCAGAAAAGCCC